rnacentral:rRNA from 1 species
UACGUAGGGGGCAAGCGUUGUCCGGAAUUAUUGGGUGUAAAGAGCGUGUAGGCGGCCAGAUAAGUCCGCUGUGAAAUCUCGAGGCUCAACUUCGAGCUGUCGGUGGAAACUGUCUGGCUAGAGUCCGGAAGAGGAGAAUGGAAUUCCUGGUGUAGCGGUGAAAUGCGCAGAUAUCAGGAAGAACACCCGUGGCGAAGGCGGUUCUCUGGGACGGUACUGACGCUGAGACGCGAAAGCGUGGGGAGCGAACAGG